AUUUAGUAAAACAUCUGGCACAGGUAAUUAUUUUAUUUCGCUCACCUUUAAGUGGAACGAAGCGAUAAAAACUCAAUUAAUUUAUUGCUUGCUAGGCCGCCUGCCAGCUUGCGUAAAUUAAUUCUAAAUUGUAAUAAUUUCUAAUGCUGAUUUGCGGUUAUAGGCUUGAGAAAAUACCCAGAGCACGAGUGACGGUGACCAGAGUUUUGCCGCCAAGCAGAUCGAU